GAUGAACGCUAGCGGCAGGCUUAACACAUGCAAGUCGAGGGGUAACAGGGAAGAGCUUGCUUUUCUGCUGACGACCGGCGCACGGGUGCGUAACGCGUAUAGAACCUACCUUUUACAGGGGAAUAGCCCAGAGAAAUUUGGAUUAAUGCCCCAUAGUAUUAUUGAAUGGCAUCAUUUAAUAAUUAAACAUUUAUGGGUAAAAGAUGGCUAUGCGUUCUAUUAGCUAGAUGGUAAGGUAACGGCUUACCAUGGCAACGAUAGAUAGGGGUCCUGAGAGGGAGAUCCCCCACACUGGUACUGAGACACGGACCAGACUCCUACGGGAGGCAGCAGUGAGGAAUAUUGGACAAUGGAGGCAACUCUGAUCCAGCCAUGCCGCGUGCAGGAAGACGGUCCUAUGGAUUGUAAACUGCUUUUAUAUAGGAAGAAACCUUUCCACGUGUGGAAAGCUGACGGUACUAUAAGAAUAAGCACCGGCUAACUCCGUGCCAGCAGCCGCGGUAAUACGGAGGGUGCAAGCGUUAUCCGGAAUCAUUGGGUUUAAAGGGUCCGUAGGCGGACUAAUAAGUCAGGGGUGAAAUCCAACAGCUUAACUGUUGAACUGCCUUUGAUACUGUUAGUCUUGAGUUAUAUGGAAGUAGAUAGAAUAUGUAGUGUAGCGGUGAAAUGCUUAGAGAUUACAUAGAAUACCGAUUGCGAAGGCAGUCUACUACGUAUAUACUGACGCUA
rnacentral:rRNA from 1 species